CCCUCUGGGUUGUAAACUGCUUUUAUCAGGGAAGAAACGAUGGGAUUCAUCCUGUCCUGACGGUACCUGAGGAAUAAGCACCGGCUAACUCCGUGC
rnacentral:rRNA from 1 species